CAUAAUUAUGUCCAUUUAAGAUAUCUUUAAGACUGUUUUUCCCUGAUGAUGACCUUAAAACAUGUGAAAAACUAGGCAGUAAGAAUUUGUGUUUUCAUCCAGCCCGGACAGAGAUCCAGAUUAUUCGUAAAAAAAAGAGGUUCAGAGAAAACGUAUAUCCAGAUCACAUAUAAUAAUGUGGUCGAAUUUAAACGCAAAAUCUCACAACGCAGCUUAAAUAGUACUCGCAGAAACGGAUGAGUGGACCAGGAAAAGAGAAUUACGACCAUUACCGUGUUGAAAUUUUUUUUGAAACAAGAGGUCAGAAAAAUGGACAUUCCAGUCCACAGUGUACAGAUAAAGAAAAACCAAUGUUACGCUUUAAAAAUAGCAACUUCCAAUUGGAAAACCUAGGAACCUAGAAACGAUUAUUUCUAAGUGUGUAGGGUUUGAAAAUUUUCGAACCCGGCAAAAACAGCGCCUUCAGAAUAUAAGAAAAGUGCAGCUAAACACCUUUUCUACCACCUUGGAUCUCUGGCAACCACACGUCUGACACCGUAACACAGAAUUGCACUAGGCCCAGAAAAAUAUGGAUAGUGGUUUGGGUUUUAAUAGACGACCAGGUUUGGCUUAAUAGUAAUUUAGGGAUUGAAACCUUUGAAGCAAUAUGUAUA